CAUCCAGAAGAACAGAUGCCAGACUUCAGCAAUGCCGCAAAUGUUGCAGGGACAGACUUGAAGGACUGAGCUCCACAUGAGGUUUCUCCCCCGAGACUUGCUCUGGAGACCCCAUUUCCUUUGGGGACAGGAGCCUUUCAGCAUCUUCAGGAGCUCUUUGGGCUGAGCAAGUUCAGCAGAGGCCACAGUCAGGGCACAUGAAAGGCGACAGUGUCUGGUUCUCUGGGGCUCACAUCACCUCCAUUUUCCCUUCCGAGGGAAGAACAGGGGAAAGGGAAAGUGAUGAACAAAGCACUCAGUGACACCAAUCGGGCUGUAGGUGAUAAGGGGAGAAAGAGCUCAGAGCUCUGCAGCCUCUAAUUGAUGGGCCUUCGGGGAACUGCUGAGAAUUGGCUCAGGCUGAGCUGUGUCAGCCACAAGGAGGGACAAGAGGAACAGGAGGAUAAUGGAGGUUUGAGGGGGUCUCGUGGGGUUAGGGAGCACCCACCAAGGAAUGCUUGUGAGGCUGUGCAGCCUCCAGCCUUGGGGUUCUCCAAAAGCCUUCUGGAUCGGGAGAUGAACAGUGACCCCAGAGAGCUGAGGACACCUCGGGAGGGUGAGAAACCUCAGCGGGGAAGGAGCCCCUGAGCUCCCAAGCGCCCAGGCCUGGGAGUGCAGCAGAGCUGGCCAUUGCAGCUGCGGAGGUGAGGCUCCACUGCGAGCUGAGCGGGAACAGCCCCUUCCCAUCACUGAGGCCGCAGGGGCACGGGAUGCUCCCAGUGCCAACGGCUGAGGGAGCCUCGGGGGCUGCUGCUGGAGGAGCGACAAACGCACACGGAGCAUUUCAGGCACGGCAAGGACAGGGCACUGCUCUGCCUGCUCCCGCCGCCGCCGCUUCCUUUGCUCCCGCCCACAGGCGUUCCCGGCAGCUCUGCUCUCUCGGCGCUCGGACGUGCUUUGGGCUCUUCCUCACUCGGCAAACACGCAGCUUGGUCUCGCCAUGCACCUGGCACAUCUCAUCCUCACCGUCUUCCUGGGCCAGCUCCUGGGCACCACGGGGCAGGACACGGUCACCCAGGACGAUGGACCAGUCACGGUGGAGCAGGGACACCCCUUCCACACCACCUGCAAAUACCACACCAGUGGUUUUAGGGCAUUGCUGUGGUACCAGGUGCGGAAAGGCCAAGCCCCAGAGCUGGUCUCCUAUCAGUCAGGGCCUGGCCCCAGGCGCAGCGGCCGGAUCACCACGCACCUGAACACCACGAGAAAAUCCAGUGUCCUGCAGCUGGAGGAAGUGGAGCUCUCUGACACUGCCUUGUACCUCUGUGCUGUGCAAGGCACCCUGGUGCAGGGAGCUUCCUCAGCUGUGCAACAAGCCAGGGCAGGGAGGGGAUGUGUCAGUGCAAGGCUGAGCUUGGGGAAGGGACUCUGAUCUCACCCUGAUGCUCAGCAGAAGUUGCAUCCCCAUGUGUGUACAAUGGUCUGAUGGUUUGGACAGCGUUCAUCCCAGCACUUCCAUUGGGAAAGUGCUUUGGACUAUUUUGACUCAUUUCCACAUUGUGCAGUCUCUCAGGAAAAGGAAAG